rnacentral:rRNA from 1 species
AUACGGGGGGUGCAAGCGUUAUUCGGAUUUAUUGGGCGUAAAGAGCGCGUAGGCGGCUUGGUAAGUCAGAUGUGAAAGCCCGGGGCCCAACCCGGGAAGUGCAUUUGAAACUAUCAGGCUUGAGUAUGGGAGAGGGAAGUGGAAUUCCUGGUGUAGAGGUGAAAUUCGUAGAUAUCAGGAGGAACACCGGUGGCGAAGGCGACUUCCUGGACCAAUACUGACGCUGAGGCGCGAAGGCGUGGGGAGCAAACAGGAUUAGAAACCCGAGUAGUCC